rnacentral:lncRNA from 1 species
GAUCCAAUAUGUCGGUGGAACAUCGUGUGCGAAGAGAGUCCCGAACGGAAUCCAGCAGGGGGCGGGCGCCCAGGUCACUAGGGCGGGCGCCCUGGGCCUGGCCGCUUUCGGCCUCUGCUUCGUUCUCGUGGCUUCUAGAGUCUUCUAGAUGGUAGAAAAUUGCGCGGUGCGUUGAUAUCUCUAUGUAAUCCCGACAUGUGGGCCUUUCUUCCUUAUUUCCUGAUAACCCCCUGCAGAAACAGAUAAACAACAAAACUCGUGGAAUUCUGU